UACGUAGGUGGCAAGCGUUGUCCGGAUUUACUGGGCGUAAAGAGCGCGCAGGCGGUCGUCCAAGUCGCGUGUGAAAGCCCCCGGCUCAACUGGGGAGGGUCACGCGAUACUGGUCGACUCGAAGGCAGGAGAGGGUAGUGGAAUUCCCGGUGUAGUGGCGAAAUGCGUAGAUAUCGGGAGGAACACCAGUGGCGAAGGCGACUACCUGGCCUGUUCUUGACGCUGAGGCGCGAAAGCUAGGGGAGCAAACGGG
rnacentral:rRNA from 1 species